rnacentral:misc_RNA from 1 species
GAUGAAGAACGUAGCGAAAUGCGAUAAGUAAUGUGAAUUGCAGAAUUCAGUGAAUCAUCGAAUCUUUGAACGCACAUUGCGCCCCUUGGUAUUCCGAGGGGCAUGCCUGUUCGAGCGUCAUUAUAACCCCUCAAGCUCAGCUUGAUGUUGGGGCCUGCUGCACUGGCAGCCCUUAAAAUCAGUGGCGGCGCCAUCUGGCUCUAAGCGUAGUAAUUCUUCUCGCUAUGGAGUCCUGGUGGAUGCUUGCCAUCAACCCCCAAUUUUUCUAUGGUUGACCUCGGAUCAGGUAGGGAUACCCGCUGAACUUAAGCAUAUCAAAGCGGAGGA